GUCAUUGAAGAACUGCUCGAUGAACUGCAUGGAGCAGCAUGGUUCUCCAAGUUAGAUUUGCGCGCGGGCUAUCACCAGAUCAGGCUGGCUCUCGGGGAAGAGCACAAGACAAAAUUUUCCACUCACCAGGGCCAUUUUGAGUUCAAAGUGUUAUCUUUUGGCCCAGCUGGGGCCUCUCCCACAUUCAUUGAAGGGCUAACCACAUCUCUCAAGCCAGCGAUUCGUAUUUGUGUCCUCUGUUUCUUCGACGACAUCUUGAUUUUUAGUGCCACAUUGGAAGAACACAAGUGCCAUGUGAGACAAGUCUUGGAACUGCUCCGUAAAGACCACUGGAAAGUGAAGCUCAAUAAGUGUGCUUUCGGGCAA
rnacentral:rRNA from 1 species